UACGAGAGGCGCAAACGUUAUUCGGAAUUACUGGGCUUAAAGAGUUCGUAGGCGGCGCAGAAAGUAGGGUGUGAAAGCCCUCGGCUCAACCGAGGAAUUGCGCCCUAAACUACUGUGCUUGAGGAAGCUAGAGGUGAGCAGAACAGAUGGUGGGGCGGUGAAAUGCGUUGAUAUCAUCUGGAAUACCGGAGGCGAAGGCGGCUCACUGGGGCUUUUCUGACGCUGAGGAACGAAAGCCAGGGUAGCGAACGGG
rnacentral:rRNA from 1 species